GCAGUGGGACAGAGAGCCGCGCAGCUGAUUCAUUCAAGGUCGCUGUGAGGAAAGUCCGGACUCCACAGGGCAGGAUGCCAGCUAACGGCUGGGCGGGGUGACCCGACGGAAAGUGCCACAGAAAAGAAAACUCCCCGAAGCAGGUGAGACAGCAAAACAGCUGGGUUCCCAGUAACCGUGCAGUCGCAUCUACAAUGGAGAAAAGCUGAAACGGUGUGGUAAAAGCGCACCAGCGUCUUGGUAACAGGGCGGCUUGGCAAACCCCAUCCGGAGCAAGGGCGAAUAGGAGUGCGAUGAAGCUGGCCCGGCUAGCGCUCGGGUUGCCCGCUAGAGGACGGCGGUGACGUCGUUUCGAGAUAAAUGGCUCUCUUUGAAGACAGAAUCCGGCUUAUCGUCCCACUGCAAUU
rnacentral:RNase_P_RNA from 1 species